ACCAGUCACCUUAAUAUAUCGAUAAGAAUGAAAUAUAAAAAAUUUACAUUUUCUCGUGACUGCCGAAAAUUAUCAAAAAUUUUAAUUUGUAAACGUGCGAAAAAUAUAAAUAUCAAGAAAAAUACAUAAAACUACCUCAAAAAAUUCCCGAAUAGCACCAGUCAGCUUAAAAUAUUGAUACAAAUAAAUGAUCAAAAUUUCAUAUUUUUUCAUGACUGCCCGUAAAAUAUAAAAAAAAUUAAUUCUUAAACUUCCGAAAAAUAUAAAAAACAAUAAAAAGAUAUAAAGACAGCUCAAAAAUUUUCUGA
rnacentral:lncRNA from 1 species